rnacentral:rRNA from 1 species
UGACGCCGCGUGUGGGAUGACGCCUUUCGGGGUGUAAACCACUUUUCUUGGGGACGAGAACGGACGGUACCCAAGGAAUAAGCCUCGGCUAACUACGUGC